AUCAACUUUCGAUGGUAGGAUAGAGGCCUACCAUGGUGGUAACGGGUAACGGGGAAUUAGGGUUCGAUUCCGGAGAGGGAGCCUGAGAAACGGCUACCACAUCCAAAGGAGGCAGCAGGCGCGCAAAUUACCCAAUCCCGACACGGGGAGGUAGUGACAAUAAAUAACAAUACGGGGCUCUUUAGGGUCUCGUAAUUGGAAUGAGUACAAUUUAAAUCCCUUAACGAGGAACAAUUGGAGGGCAAGUCUGGUGCCAGCAGCCGCGGUAAUUCCAGCUCCAAUAGCGUAUAUUAAAGUUGUUGCAGUUAAAAAGCUCGUAGUUGAAUUUCGGGAUUUGCACAUCGGUCGUGCCUUAAGGGGUAUGAACUGGUGUAGUGAAUUUCUCACCUUCUGGAGAACCGUGAUGUCCUUUAUUGGGUGCCACGAGGAACCAGGACCUUUACUUUGAAAAAAUUAGAGUGUUUAAAGCAGGCAUUUUUGCUUGAAUACAUUAGCAUGGAAUAAUAAAAUAGGACGGCAUGAUUCUAUUUUGUUGGUUUCUAGGAUCACCGUAAUGAUUAAUAGGGAUAGUUGGGGGCAUUAGUAUUCAAUUGUCAGAGGUGAAAUUCUUGGAUUUAUUGAAGACUAACUACUGCGAAAGCAUUUGCCAAGGAUGUUUUCAUUAAUCAAGAACGAAAGUUAGGGGAUCGAAGACGAUCAGAUACCGUCGUAGUCUUAACCAUAAACUAUGCCGACUAGGAAUCAGACGAUGUUAAUUCUUUAAUGACUCGUUUGGCACCUUACGGGAAACCAAAGUGUUUGGGUUC
rnacentral:rRNA from 1 species